CAGGGUUUGAUCCUGGCUCAGAUUGAACGCUGGCGGCAGGCCUAACACAUGCAAGUCGAGCGGAUGAAGGGAGCUUGCUCCUGAAUUCAGCGGCGGACGGGUGAGUAAUGCCUAGGAAUCUGCCUGGUAGUGGGGGAUAACGUCCGGAAACGGGCGCUAAUACCGCAUACGUCCUGAGGGAGAAAGUGGGGGAUCUUCGGACCUCACGCUAUCAGAUGAGCCUAGGUCGGAUUAGCUAGUUGGUGGGGUAAAGGCCUACCAAGGCGACGAUCCGUAACUGGUCUGAGAGGAUGAUCAGUCACACUGGAACUGAGACACGGUCCAGACUCCUACGGGAGGCAGCAGUGGGGAAUAUUGGACAAUGGGCGAAAGCCUGAUCCAGCCAUGCCGCGUGUGUGAAGAAGGUCUUCGGAUUGUAAAGCACUUUAAGUUGGGAGGAAGGGCAGUAAGUUAAUACCUUGCUGUUUUGACGUUACCAACAGAAUAAGCACCGGCUAACUUCGUGCCAGCAGCCGCGGUAAUACGAAGGGUGCAAGCGUUAA
rnacentral:rRNA from 1 species